rnacentral:rRNA from 1 species
CACGGCCCCUCGGGCCCGACCCGAGCCCAGUCAACGUUUUGACCCGAUCAAAUCGGCCCGUGACCCGAAACGACCCUACUUGGGCCCUACAACAGCCACGUAAAGUUUCGGGAUGAUCCGACGUUCUUUCAUGGGGUUACGGACAAUCCACGCCAAACAAGCGUCACGGGCCGACCGAGCCGGGCCAACGGGCCCUCGGGACCCGAAAACUGAAUUUUUUUUCAUCCAAACCCAUUAAAACACGUUACCGAGGUCUCACGCAAAAUUUCAUGCCAAUCCGACGUCGUUUGAUGGGGUUUUGAAAAAUUAUGAUUCCUCAAAAAUUUAAUGUCUGUUCCUGUCACUUAGCUUUUUGUGCAAAAUGUAUAUAUAGGGGAGGGGUGGGUGUUGAGCAGCCCAUGCCCGGGCAAGGCGUGCCAGCGCCCAAGCCAAAGGAGGCUGGUGGCGUGCGUAUAACAGCUCAAAUGCCCCAACGAUGACCGAGAACAAGCGCCCAUCUCCCCUCCUUCCCCCCCACCAAGCGCCCCUCCCCCCCAUGUUGCCUGCCCACUCGCACAGCUACUCGUGAUUUCAUGCCCAGCGACUAGUGAAUGUGCCUCGACGACCAGCAAACCUCGAAAAUUAUGAUUCCUCGUAAAAUUAAUGUCUGUUCCUGUCACUUUACUUUUUGUGCAAAAUGUAUAUAUAGGGGAGACCAGGGGCUUGAGCAACCCCUGUGCCCAAGCAAGGGUCAGAUGGAAGCACACGAGACGCGAGGUUUAAAGCCUAUACAAGCAAGGCGUCUGUCUCCCCAAGCCCCAUUGCCUAUAAAACAAGCCCGAUGCCUUGUAAAUGCCCCACACGAUGCCUAUAAACGACAACGAUGUUUGCUAGUUAAUCGAUCGACGCCCCACACCUUGCAGCAUGUUGCCUAGUAAACAAGCCAUGCUGCCUUGGAAGCGCCCCACAUCAUGGCAUGUUGCCUAGCACGCUGCCCUUGUUUCCCGCACGGCGACCUGAAAGCGUGGCCUGACGACGUGCUUGCCUUCGAAAAUUAUGAUUCCUCAAAAAAUUAAUGUCUGUUCCUGUCACUUUACUUUUUGU